UUGACAAUCUUAUCGUGAAGGCAUACUUUCAGGAGUGAGGGUAGAGCGGGGUUUCCCCCGCCCUGGUAGUCUUAGUAAGCCGGGAAGCUUAUGACUAAGCGCACCACGAUGAUGAUCCACUUCAUCAUGACCCUUUCCUUAUU
rnacentral:sRNA from 1 species